CAACAGUAAUUGAUACGCAUUUUAAAAUUGAAAAAAACAUUCUCAGUGGAGAUUGUAAAAAUCAACGUCUACCUAAUUAAAUAUGAGGUGGAACCUAAAUUUGAAAUUAAAUUUUCUUACAGUCGAAAGAUUGCAAAACAAGAUUUAUACUAAUAGAAUAAAUAAAAGGAGAAUAAGAUCAAUGUUCAGGGUGUCCACAUCGGACUAUAAAAUCAGCAAAUAAGAAACUUCCGAAUGUCUACCUCAGCAAUAAGAUCAAUGUUUCAAUCUAAAACCAAACGCCUUGAUCAAAAAAAAAAAGCCAAAUGCCAAAACCCAAGAGUCGGAGACGUCGAUUGUGUAACGUAGUCCACCACCAUCAAAGCUAUUAAAAGCUUCAACUCAUCCAUACUCUGCAUCUCUCCCCCGAAUCCAAAUCUCCUCUGGUAGCUUCCAUGGAUGAGAAACAGUCAGAUUUCCAGAUCCAAAGCUUUGAAUAAAUCUAGCACCAAAGCUCCGACAAUAUCAACCAGCGCAUCAAUGUCUAAGAAUCCAGGAAAAUCACCACUAAAGCUCCAACUGAAUCGACCACCAGUUCCAUGGAUAAGAAAAAAGGGUUGCUUGACUCGAUCUACAGCUUUGAAUCCUGCAAAAAGAAAGAUCCUCAUAGGGUUUGAUCUGUUAUUUAUGGCAAAGAGGUAUGGUUUGAUAUUCUAAAUCCCUGAAUUUCAUAACCUUUUUCUUAUCAUCUAACCUAUACUACACCUCAACAUGAAUCUGUGCUACAAGGUGCAUAGCUCAGAAUCGUGUAAGCCGAUAUAAAAAUUUAUGAAGCGUGGAUCUCAGCCUCUUUAACCUCUUAUCUCAAAUUUUUUGACACUUUCAAGGUCUAUCCGUUCUUCAAGAACAUAGUUUAGCGAUUGAGUUCAACUGGUUCUGGUUCCAUUCAUGCAAAGAGUUUGAAGCGAUCUCUAUGGUAAGGUUUAGGUUUUGUUGUCGAAUACAGUUAAAUUAUUUCAAUUAUUUUGCUUUUUUUGUUGUUGUUGGUAUUUUAUUGGGAUGCAGAUAAAGAUCCAGAGUAUGGUAACCAAGCUGAGAUCAAAGCGCAAAGGUUGUAAGAGAGACAAAGAGAGAGAGGCUUUUAAAAGGUUUGUUGUUAUCUGAUUAUUUAUGUUUUAGUUUUGUGUUUAUGUUAGUUUAAAAUUUAGCAAAUUUUUAGAAACUUACUUCCGAUGGGGUGAUCUCCUUUUAAUUCAACUGAAAUCAAUGAUAGAGAAAUCAACAAUAGAGUUGUUUAAAUUUUAUUCUGUAUGGAAACCAUCUGAUUCAGCUCCAUACAGGAUGACUGCAUUUUAUGUUGAGACCAGCUUACUGAAGCGAGUGCUAGGGUAUUGCAACACAUCGCUUCAGCUCCAGAGGAAGGUAAUAAUCGUUUUGCCAUUGUAGUUGUAAAGGUAUAUUAAUUUUACUUUUUGGUUUUGAUUGCCAAAUGGUCUUAGUUCUCAACUAUAGUUCUCAACUACCGUUUAUAAUCUUUAUCCUCAUUUUUCAGCCAUAUAUUACUUAAAUUUUUUUUUCUGGUGAGCAGGAAAUGUCAUACAACAAUUAUCUGGGUGUUGACUCAGCGUGGAACUGCGUAUCAGAUUCUGAAAACCCGACAUGUGCAGUCAUGAAGCACACAAAUCCUUGUGGUGAGGCCUACCAGCUAGCUGUAAUAGCUGAUCCAGGUAGCACAUUUGGUGGUAUUGUAGCCACCAAUGUCAAAGUAGACAAGGUAAUUGAUUGAUGAACAUGGAUCUACAACGAUUUAUUCUCUUAUUCAGUUCAUCUCACUAAUAAAAUUGAGCACAUGCCAUUUAUUCAGGGAUUGUUCGCAACAAAAAGAAAAGACAUCUAUUGUGUUACUGAUCACAAGCUCACCAUCUGUUUCACUCAGAAUAUUGUCCUCUCGGAGCUUCAAUACAACCCAGUUGUGAUCGAGAGAAACAUGUUCAGGUUCCGUUCAUUCCAAGAGUUUGAGGGGUGAUUUGUAUGGUAAGUUGGCUUUCCUGUGUUAACAUGUGUUGUCCUGAUUGUCCUGAUUUGUAUAUUGUCCUGAUCUGUAUACAACUAAAUUCUUUAACAUGUGUUGCAGAUAUCAUCGGCCCAUGAAGGUCAUCAAUUGACAGUCUCUCAGCAAACACCCGGUCUUGAACGGAGGCAGCACUCCCACCUACAGCCAAAACAGUGAGCAUAUACGAUUACAUACUAGCACCAGCCAUAACAUGCAUAUGUCAUUAACUGUCUCACAAUUAUAAUUGGCAAUUUCAGAUGACCUAUGAUUAAUGUCUACCUUUGGGACCAGGCUUCUCAUGAGUCCCACAACAGGUUCAAUGAAAGUCUUGCCACUCUUGCUGUUGCAUUAGUAACAGCAGUUAACUCUAAACGUAUUGGACGUAAGACGUUUCCAUGUUUUAGUCAAUAACAUCUUGAUUAAUCAAUCACGAAUCAGUUCAAGAACAUCUUGAUUAAUUUGCAUUAUAUUUAUCAAAACAGUCUUGAAGUCUUUUUAAUUGUCCGUUUUUGUUCAACUAUGUCCAAAGCAUAGAUAGAUAAGAUUAACACAAAGCUCUUAGUUUCGAUUCAGUUAGUUUUUAAUACUCAUGGUAACGAGGUAGACAAUAGCAAGCUACAAUGGUCUUCUUGAGAUUUAAAUCUAUGACAUUGUUAUCGUGUUUUGAUUAUAUCGGAAUAGAUGGUGAGUUGAUUGUUUUUUCUGGAGUUGAAAUGUACAUUACAAAACCCUCACCUUACACUUUCGCUUAGCAUGUUGUUUACGUGUGCAUGUUGUGCACGUGUGCUUUCUCUUUGUAACAGGUACCGUGCUGAGAUAUCUGUCUACGACAAUGUCGUUAAGGCAACUUUUGUGCUCCUUAGUAAUACUGGUCCUGAGUUAACAGGGAGGCAGGCGUUAGAGCUUAUUGACAAUUACUUCGAGGCUAAUGGGGACAUCGGUGCUAACCAUGAGAUGCCAACUCCACAAUGUCUGGUGGAAGUCUCAAGCUCCAACCUUACAGUUAAGAGACAGACCAUAAGUGUGACGAAGGUUGUUUCUCCUGCAGUUCUGCCACCAUUUGUAGUAGCAGAAAGCCAACCAGACGCAAUCGAUGAAGAGAGCACAUGCUCCUGGAUUAAUUCAUUUCUGUCAUAGGGAGUCUAGCAUAACUUUAUCCAAACUAUUUUUGAACUCUCUGUUCUUGCAUAUUUUUUAUAAAUAAUAAACCCAACUUAUAAAGAACGAAACCACAACACAUGCUUAGGAAGGAGAGUACCUCAACUUUUUGACCAUUGAAUGAUAAAAUUAAAGAAACUAUACCUUUUUAUGAACUAUAUUAUGAACUAUACCUUUUUGACCAUUGAAUGAUAAAAUUAAAGAAAUAUAACAAAAAUAAAAUAAAAAUUAUGCUAAUAAAAUAUAAUUUUAUAAUAUAAUUUUUUUUUAGGAUUGAUCUUUUUAAUCUUUUCACCAAAAGAGUUUCCAAUGAGUAACACGAUUAGAAAUCAUCAUGUUAUCUAUUUUAUUAAAGAGUAAAUAGAUAUUUAUAUUUUUAGCGUUAACUAAUAUAAAUUUAGAGUCUAGAUAUGAGGGGUGAAUUUUGGAGAUGAGAUUAAUUUUUUAAAUAAAUAGAUAAAUAUUUAGAAUUAAAAAUCAAGAAAUUUAAAAAUCAUUUUACCUUUCAAAAGAAAAUUUGAAAUUUAUAAAUAUUCAAAUUAGUAAACAUAUAAUUUAAGAACUAUAAAAAUAUUUUUUUAAUUUUUAAUGUUUAUUAUUUACUUAAAUAAUUAUUUAUAUUUAUAUAUCUAUAGAGCAAGGGAGGGAAAAAGGUAAAAUGAUCUUUUGCCUCCUUAAUUAAAUCUAUUUUGAACAUUUCCUCUUCGGAACUCCGUUGGUGAAAAAAACUUAAAAAAUAUUUAAGAGAAUUGUGCUUAUAAUUAAUUUUACAUUAUUGUUUUUUUUUUGUUUUAUUAAAGUCAACACGGCAAAACCAAACAUAUUCAAAAUGGUUUCAGUCUUAAAACAAAAUUCAGAGAUUAAUUUCAAAUCGAUGACGUGAACUUUGAAUGAUAUAUAUAAGUGUGUUAUUGGAAAAGAAAUCUUUUAUACAUAUGUUUGUAAUAAUUUUGAUUUUUUAUUCAAGCAUGUAUACAAACAAAAUAUUUCAUCUAUCUUAGAGUAUCUCCAAAAGGAAUUCUAGACUUAGAUUUCCCAAAAUACAUAUAUGUGUAUAAAUAUAUUAAUAUUUAAUUAUAGGCUCUUAACUUUACAAAAAAGGUAACUAAAAAUAUAUUUUUUUUGUUCAUUUGAUUUGUAUUUUCCGUAAAGUUAAUAAUUCUACAAUUAAAUAUUAAUAUAAUAUAUAUAUAUAUAUGUUAAUAUAUAACAUAUAUGUAUUUUGAGAAUUCCAAGCUUAGAAUCUUCACUGAAGGUGCUUUUUUUAUGCUAUCAUUAUAAUUCAAAAUGGGUUUUUAAAUUUAAAAUGGUUCUACAAUAUCUUAUAUUCACACAACAUAUUUAACUGAAAUUUUAUAGAGCAAUUAUCUGGGCGUAGCGCGGAAAAACGAUCUAGUUGUCAUAAUAAGAUGUGAAAACUAGACACUUUUACACCUGAUACAUUCAUCUUCAUUAAACAUUAUUAAAUUCACACCGAGAACUGUAGCCUAUGCUUUGACCUUUGAAGCUAUGUUUGUCAUUGCAUAUCGAGUUAGAACAUUUCCGAUAUAAAAUUUCAUUUUAAAGUGAGAAAUAAAAUAAAAAGCAAAAAAAUAAAAUGAUUAUUCAGUAUUUAUUCUAGAGUCAAUUAACCGAAUAUACAUGAAAAAAAAAAGCAAAAUUAAAGAACUACCUAACAUGUUGAAAAAUAAAAGUGUAUGUACCAAAAUCAACUUAAAUUGACUAUUAUGUCCUUCUUUAUUUAAUACGGUAAAAAGAGAAAGUCAAAUUUUCAUCUUCAUUUUUAUCAACUUCUUCAUCAUCUUUCAUCAAUGUCGAUAGUUUUCCCUGAAACUAAUUAAAUUACUCUCCACCAACAUCCGUUUCAGCUUCCAUCGAAAAAAACGAAGUAGAACUGCUCACUUUCUGAGGAGUUAGUUUUUAUUUUUCAUUUCUCCUUGCAAUUUUCACUGUAACGCUCGCCGAAGAUCGUCCUUCUUCUGCCGUAUGCAACGGCCAAGCUUCCUUCUAUCAAACCAGAGGAUUACGCUCACCGUCUUGGGAGAUCACGCUUCGCUCUCUUGCCUUCUCUCUUCCAUCCCAAAGAUCGGAGAUCCAGAACAUAUCCGCACCGAAUCCAACUCACCGAGCCAAAAACGAGUUGCCGAGGACGACGAUCGGCUGAUCGGAGGGGCGGAACAGGUAGAGUAACAGCCACGAGGCGAGGAUGCAGAGGAGGAAGAUGAGGGAGAAGGGAUGCGUCACGAGGGAGAACCCGACGAUCGCCGUCGCGACGGCGCCGUCAUUGACCUUGAAGUAGGAGUAGUUCUUGCGGAUGCGGACGACGGCGUCGGAGAACGACUCCGGUUUGGAUAACGCGGAGCGGUCCGCGAGCUCGGCCAGGGACAGCGCUGGGAGAGGCCGUUCGUGACGGUUUCGGAGAUCCGAUUGAUGAAUCGCAGAAGUCGGGGGUUGGUAUUCAACGUGAUUGGAUGGCGGAGGAGAUGGUUUGGGGUUGCAAAUUGAGAGGGUGAGAGAGAAAAAUGAUAAUUCGGAAAAGGGUAAAAUAAGAUUAUUAAAAUGUUAAAAGUAAAAUUUUAUCUUCUUCAACUUUCUCCAACUUCUCUCUAAGAAACAGAACAUAAGCGAGUGUUUAAAGUGGUGGCCGGUGGCUUUGCCGCCGGUUACCUUUUUUUCUUUUGUUUUUUUUGUUUGUAAAUAGCUUCGAUCGUUUGAUCGAUCAAAAGUUUCGCUAUGGCGAUUUUCAGUUUCGUUAGGCGAUUUUGGUAAUGAUAUGGUUUGACUCGAUCAGAGUAGUUUAUCACUCCUAUCUUUUCUCUGAUUUGAUUUGGGUCGAACCUAAAUAAAGUUUCAACCUAGUUCUUCUCCUUUUGGAUUGGUUGUAAUAUGCCGUUGGAUUAAGAGAUUGCAUUUCUCUUCUUGCUUAGAAAAGCUUAUUUCUUUGA